UCGACAAAUGCAGAAGUGUCAUUUCUCUCCUGCUUUAUUUCUACCUAUGCGGAUGGUGGGGCCUAUUCCUUGUAGGCUUGGAUCCCUUCAGAGAUACUGUUACAACAAUUGUUGACCAGGAAGUAUUUGGUUCAACUUUGGAUAAGAGAAGAGAGAUGAAAUUAUGGAAGAGGAGAUGUGAGACUAUCAACAAGUUAGGUCACUCAAUUCAUGUUUAUUCAAUUUAUUGGAGGUUGAAUGGUGCAUUGUGCUAUUAUGUUUUUAACAAGUUCUUGCUAGAACUUGGAAGAGGGAUGACGCUACAUGUAAGAAGAGCAAAUGCUACAUGGGCUCAGGAACUACCAACAUCAAGGUGUAACGACUUGCCAGACGUUGCUCUUGAAGAACCCAUGUGUGGUGAGCCUGCGGGACUUUUGUCCAUGGUACCAGGUUCGUUUUUUCGAGAGUUGUAGGCUUGUAGCUACUGUAAUUGGGUAGUUUUGUUUUUGUUGCUACCAGAAGCAC